rnacentral:lncRNA from 1 species
CUGUAGUAUGCAAAAUAUAAGCUAAUGCUGUAAUGCAAACAAUCUUAUCAGCAUAAUUAGGAUAAAAUAAUUCAUUUUGCCAACAAAAAUUCAAAACUAAGGCCUGAAUUGAAAACUAAAGUAUAGACGUAAAAUAACUAUCAAAUCAAAAACUCCUUCCCAUAAUCAAGUUGAAAUACAAAUCCAUAUAUAUCAAAUGAGAUCAAAACGACUGAAAUACUGUUUCACAGGGUUUCGAACAACAUAGAAGCCUAAAAACUCCUACAAUUCAGUGAUCCAGAAAAAUUGCUACCUUCGACAGCUUAGGCAGUGGUAGCCGCUCCUCUCUUCCUGGGUGCAGCUUCGGUACCUGAUUCAAAAUCACAACGUUAGCAAAAACCCUAAAACAACACCCAAAAUUAAACACUCAAAUAAUGAACCGCUUAUACCCUCUCUGAAGCCGCUCUUGAAUCUGCGAGGCACGUGACGCAGGUACCUCAUUCUUCCAGUUCCAGUGGUCUUUCUCCUAAUGGCCUUGACGCUCCAGUUAUCUGAAACCACCGACCAAUCAAGACCAAAUCUUAAACACAAACCCUAAAUUUAAAAAGUAAAAGAGUUACAUUUUCUAGUGCGUGCUGCUGGGAAAGCACACGCAGCACAGCGACUCUUCUGGAGGUGGAAGCUGCGACGGCCGCAUCUGACACAGAGGGUGUGGGUCUUGUUCCUCCUCUUACCGAAACUCCCUGUUCCCUUCCCCUGCACUCAUGCAAAAUCAAAACACCGUCAGAAUCAGAU